rnacentral:lncRNA from 1 species
ACGACGGGGAACUUGGACCGAUCAAGGCAAACGCAAGCCCAAAAGGUAAAAACAUUACUCAUCUUUUUAUUCCUUCUUUAAAGAAACAAAAUUACAUUUGAAGGUACAAGGAAAAGGAAGAACCCUACUCGACCUGGGGCUUUCUUGGAAUCAAGACCGCCCUUAGGAUUAAUCCCUAAAAUCCUACGGAUCAGGACGGCGGCCCCAUCGUUUCUUCACUGGAAGUACAGAAGAUGGCGGUCCAGCGCCCUCCUGCAUCAAGCGAACAUCAUUCGCCAACUUCGGAAGGAGCGUGGUUGCACUCCCUGGCUCGGUUGGGGGAUCCUUGACUUUGAGUCGGUACACCCCCGAUGGCCGACCCAGAGGUAGGCGCGCCGUUUCCCUCCUCUGAAGAAGAAGAUAUGAAGACCAGAGUUUUCCUCCCCCUCUUGCCCACAAAUUCUCGGCUGGAUUCUGAAUCACGAUCCAUGGUAAGAAAGAGGAAGAGGGGCAGAGGUGGGAAGGAAAGGGAGAAAGAAUCCCC